GGGUAGGGCCACAUCUAACACCAGCCCUUGUGCACAAAGGACUGAUUACCUCUGCACCAUAAUUCACUUUUGCAGUAGAGAACUUCUCUGUUUGUUUAAAAAAGUAGUAGAAAUAGUUAAAUCAACAAAUAGGUCCAUACUCACCACUGACAUAAGUAAGUGGACAAUGGACAUAAGCGAGACAGUGCCCUCCCUUAUCACCAACUUAUUUCUUUUAACACUAAAAUAAUACUUGCAACAUUAAAAAAAAUUAAGUAUAAAUGGAAUAUUUUUAAAAGAAAAAGAAAAACACAAACAAC
rnacentral:lncRNA from 1 species